AGCUCCGCAGCGCGUCGCUCCAGGAGUGCGAGGAGCCAUAGAUGGCGCUGCCGUCCAGCCAACCCGUCACCUCGUUGGUCUGCGGGGGUACCGGGAGGGUGAGCCCAGGGUGAGCCGCGGGCGGAGUAGCUGAGACGGGGUUUAAACCCCUUGGAGCACUCAGAUACCAGAACAAUUAAAGGCAGAGAAGUGAUGUCAACCUUUGCGGCCCUUUUGUUUUUCAUCAAUUAGGACCUGAACUCUGUCUCCCUGAGAUGACUUUUGCCUAAAUUCUAGGCUGAAUUCCCCACUGUACAAGUGCCUUUGUGAAUCUGUAUGUACCCUUAGCUUAAAACUUCCCAGUUUUGUUGUUUGGAAAGACAUUGCUUUGGGAAAUAACCCCUACAUUCUCCUUUACUUUUUCCAAGUAAAACUCUUCCCUUUCCUAUUC